AUUAUCGAGCGGUUCCGUAACUCCUGCCACCCGAUUCCACUCACUCGAAUCGAAAAAUACCAAAAUCCGAGAAUCGUCGCUUGCCGCAUCGCUAGUAUUCGAUCUAAAAGAGGCGGCGAAAAGUCAAUAGUAACCUACCCAGUGGCAUAGAUUCUUGUAAUCGUCCUUGCGACCGAGAAAACGAGUGUCCUGUAUCCUACUUCAUUCUCAAUCUCGCUGGAGUUUCGUUUUAUGUGUUAAGAUUUGGGAUUUUGACGAUGACAUCACCAGCUUUAAACAACGGCAACAACGGCCAAAAAGACUUGAAAACAGAAUCGAAUACAAACUUAGAACAGUCCACUAGUAGAGCCGAGCCAGAAGCUGAACGAACAACCCCUCCACUAAUAGCCUGGUGGCGAGUUUUCAAACUAGUCAACCUGCUAAUGCAACACAAAUGUUGAAUAAAUGGAAGUUGUUGAUUUGGAGCGGUUGAUAUGUUAUGUAAAUAUUUGGAGGAGAGUGAAGGGAAAUAGAAUUUGAAUGCACUAUUUUUUAUUUUAUUUUAUUAUUCAAGAAUUUAUAGAAGAGUCGUGUAAUAAUCAGAAUCAUAAAAUUCUAAAUAUAGAAAAUAUAGGAGAAUGAAAACGUUUCAAACUACAACAAAAGACUAGCAAUAAUAACACUAUAUCAUUACUAAUUUGUUUCACGUAUUUGCUCGUUUAAAAACAUUAUUUAAAUUAAUGUAUAUGUAUAAUUCUUUUCUAUUCUAUUUAUAAUUUUCAUACAUUAUAUAUCAUAAUAUUUUCACACCAAAACGCACUAUAAUAUAUAAUAAUUAUUUAGAAGUAAAGAUGAACUGAAAAAUUGAUGAAAACAUCUUGUUACUUGAUGAGUUUGAUAUUUCUAUUAAUUCAUUCAAAUAAAUAUUCAUAAUAAUUGUAUGGCCCUGUACUUUUAAAUGAAAAUUUCAUUAAGAAUCGAUCCCGAACCAUCACAACAUAGACCAGGCGGUUGAUGUAGUUGAGUAUGCGAAAUGUGACCGCGAUUCGAUGGAUGGUUUUGAAUUCAGAUAAGCAUGCAGAUUAUGAUUCUGAAUAUUGCCAGGAGACGUAUUGGUCCAUUGGUCAUAUUUUUGUAUCAUUAUAACGAGUGUUUUAGAAAGAAUGUCCAAUUGAACAGGAAAAAUAAAAACAAUAAUUAUGUCAUCAUAUCUAUCAAAUACAAUGUCUACUCGUUUUACAUUUGGCUACACAAAAAGAUUAUUAAAAUGCCUCAAGAAACUCACCAAAUGUACUGAACUACGAACGGAUCCACACUCAUGAUUCGCGCCAGCUAUCUUUGACUUAACUUUGAUAUUUAUACUUUAAAUGUUUUUAUAUUGAAAUUUGUAAAAUUACUUUCCAGAAAAUGAUUUUCACACAAACGAUAAUUUGAUGUUGAACAUUGAAUUUUACAAAAAUUUUCCCAUUUACAACACAACUGAGGAAAAUGUUUGGGAAAUUUUAACAAAUGAUUAUUUAUCUUGACAAUUGACAUUGACAGUAAUGACAUAUUUUUAUUACACUAACGCCACGAUUAGUUAGUGGCUGAACUAAAUUUGUGUUUUCUUAUUGAGUAUGUUCUGUGACUAGAGCUUUGAAAGUGAAUAUCUAUUCCAAUUUUAAGUAUUGAAAACUUUGAAAUGAAAUAUCAAAUUGAAUCAUUCGAUAAGAUGUUAGUUAGGCAAAAAACGAAUUUAGCAAUAUAUAUAGAUACAAUAUAUGCCAUUAUUUAGAUUGUUAAUAUUAAUCGACAAUAUCGCUAAUCGUAAUAAAAAUUUAGUAACUGUCUUAAAUUUUAUUAGUUUCUAAUAGUUGCAAUAUAAUAUAUUAGAAAACUUGUUAAACCUUAUAUAAAUAUAGGUAAUAUUGUGUCAAAAUUUUUCCGUAUUUAUUUAGAUUUAUUUUAUCAAAUAGAAUCAAAUAACAAGAAAUAUGUUCGAAGGGUAAAGAUAAUAUAGUGUGUCGAAAUGUAUUAAUUUGACGUGGUGCAACAAUAGCUUUAGGGUAAAUUAGGCUAUUGGUUUAUACGAGGCUGCUGCUAUAUACUGUGAGACACAGAAAUAUGAUUAUAAUCUUGCCCGAAGUAAACACCAUCUACAUUAACCCUGCGGUGGUAGCGCUUCUUUUGAAUUCAAAUAUGAUAGCGCCCUGUUCACCAGACCCGAUAAGUAAAUAUGUAUUUUUAUAGAUAUCCCACGUAUGUGUGAAUACACUUCGAUAAUAUAUUAUUCUAAUAUUCUUUUUCACACUUCUGUACAACCCUACAUGCAAAAAAAAACAUUUUUUAUUCUUAAAAAUAUUUAUUCAACAACUAAUGAAAUAUGCAUUUUUUUAAACGGAACAUAUAAAGUAAUCCUAAAACAAACUAGAAAUAAUAGAAAAAAUAAUUGAUUCGAACAUUGAUCACAAUAAAUAUUAACGUGUUUCAGGCGUGAAAAUGUAUGAAACUUUUUACAAUAGUAUUUUCAUUUUUACACUUAACACCCUAUUUUUUCGUAGCAGUUGACAUAUUUGGCAAUUUGACGUCUAUUUUUUACUCGCAGUUGUACAUUUUGAGCUGCUGAUCUUCUUUUCAAGUGUUCGUCUAAUAAUGAUAAGGCAAGUGUUUUCAAAAACUGUCUGCGUCUAAUACUUUUAUCAUUGUUGUAAGAAUUGUAUAUUAUUUUUGCAUUUACACCUGCUACGUUCAUAGUUGAAUAGAAAAUUACCAUGGGCCACCUCCUGUCACAUUGUAUAACGAACAAAAUUGGUCCAGAGUAUCAACUCCACCUUUUGUCAUGUUAUAAAGGGUGACUACUUCUAUUGAUGCACGGAUUCUUUCUCAAUCGUGUCGUGGUGAAGACUGGAUGCUAAUAAGAUAUUUUUAUUUUGUUUUGGUACAUUUGCAUGCAAUUUCUUGCAGUAUCAGAAUCGCUUUAACAAGUGUCUUGCUAUUGCAUCAUGGUUGUCACUUGUCAAAAUUUGAUUAUGGAUGAGGAAAUAUUUGAAAAACUCCCAAGGUAAAUAAAACAUAAGACAAAUUGAAAAAGUUUGGCAAGAAACGAAAUAUCAGCAGAUCAGAAACACAUUUCUACCUAGAAUUGCAGCUUGCACGCAAAAAAUGGCAUCAAACUCAUAAUGUUGCAUGCCGAGAUCUUGUACCUCCACCGUGUUUUACAGUCGGAAUUAUACAUGGAUCCGUUCUUCCUUUGACUUGCUUACAACCAAGAGAGGGAGAGGGGGGAAAGGCUUCUACAUUACCACCCUUCCAAAUCUGAGCUGCUAUCUCUGGGCCCGUGAGUCAUCGAUCAUGUUUACUGAACAAUACAAUACGUUCAUCUUCAGCGGAUGUGGUUUUUCAAGUCCGCCCUGAACGUCUUCUAUCGCCAAAGCUCCUUCCCAAAAAAAAAGAUGUCUAAUCCAAAAAGUAUAAAUCACAGUUAGUUCUCGCAUGUCACAAGGCUAACUGGGACUAAACUACAAUCAUAAACACAUAAGAAAUUUUUAUUUUGAAAUUUAAUGAAUUGAUUAUGGUUCGGGCUAACCGAUAUUGUAUAUCGAAAAGUCCAUUUCGCAAGCAAAUUUAAAAUUUUUCGAAUAUAAAUUUUUUAUAUUAUCGUACUCUGAAGUUCUAAUUUCGCCUUCUUUGUAAAAACCAAAACUUGAUCUGCUCCCAAAGAUGUUUUUUUAUGAUUUAAGCCGGAUGGCGCAUCUAUAUUAACGAAUAUAAUAAUUAUUUAUUUUGAUGCACAUGAAUACAUUAUUUAACAAUUUAAAGUAAUGAAUCUUAAUAAAAUCAAACUCCAAUUGAAAUAACAAGAAAAUAGUUUUUUAUUGUUGUCCCUUCUAAUAAUUAACUAGCUUAAAUCAUCUUAAGCAAAUAUCAAUUAUUACUGAAAGACAUUAAUAUCAAUCAAAUCUAUAAAUAUAAAGAAAAUAACAUUUAUUUUCUUUAAGCUCAUAGUUUUCGUUAAUCGCUUGUAUAUGGGUUAUAAAUUGCCUUGUUAUGUACUUAUAUUUAUUGAUUGAAUGCAUAAAAUUUCGCUUGUACACUUCAGAGGAACUAAAUUUCGAUAUUAUUAGUAGUACGCUAACUAAAAAAUAAAUACUUCAAACAAUUUUACAAAGAUUUUCAAAACUUUAAAGAGCGGAUUUCAAUUGAAGAUUAUUUGGAUUUCCUUUACAGAAGCUAAAAAAGAACAUACUUCGACAAUGAUGGUAAUAUCAGUUUGUUUGUUUGAAACUUUCACCUCAAAAUUUCAUAACAUUAACUUUAAAUCGAUCUGAAUAACAUGAAAUGUUUCACCAAGAAAUAUAUCCUUCAAACAAUUUGCAAGAAUGAAAACUUCGAGGAAAAGAUAUCGAAGGAUUGUUUGGAUUUCAUUACCAUUAUAUUCUAAGAUGAGUAUCUGGAGAAAGCCUUUGAUUCAAUAAAUCAUUGAAGCUCUCAUCUCAAAAUUAGCCAACAGAAGACGGCAAGUCUAAACGCCGCUUGACAUGACACAAGACGACGUGCAAGAAAUUGCAUGCAAUUUAUUUUAAAGUCAAUAUAUUGCAUACAUAAGUAUUGCAUUUCAUUUAUUAUUUGUGUGAAGUUCAAAAAUGAAAAUAGAAAAA